ACCUCGUAGGGUAAGAGAUGAGUAACCCUGCUCUAGGAUAUUUGAUAUUGGUGUAAAGACAGACCCUUUCUCAAGGAGGCAGUAUUCUGCAGAAAUUAAAGUCCUUCCUGGUUCCACAAUUACAAUAGAGGGCUGACCGAUGCAGUAGUCCCAAUGUUACAGUAUGGGCAAAUAUAUUUCGAAAAUGUAUAUGUUCUUGAAUUUCUAAACUGAAGUAGACGCAUGAUUUGGUCAUGGAGUGAUGCUGACUCUUAAGUUCUGGAUAUUUGUAAAAGAUUAAGUGAAUGGAAAACCUAUUAUGGUAUUUUCGAUUCCAGAACAGCGAACUGUAAUCAAACAAUACUCAUGCAGAGACAUCUUAACAAACCUGUUUCAUUGUCACCUGGCUUCCUAGUUUAAUUUAAACAAAGAAUCGUGCAAUAAGGUUCCUCGGACUAGGCUACUUUGAAACUUGUAUUGUUUCAUGGAUCGAUGGGGAUAUUGAAUGGAGACGAUUAUUUACGCCUUGACGACUGACAGGUGAAUCCAUCGAUGCUGUAGUCUUUCUUGGCUCGAUUACAUUGCACUCGAGUCGGUAAGUUUAUUUUAAAAUGGCGGCUGAAGCACCAAGACAGCUACGCUGAGAGCGGAGGUGAGGGCGGGUUGUAGCAGCGCAUCAUCAUGGACCACCCGAGGAACCAACAGCAACCAGCCGCGUCGACAGCCCAUCUGUAGCAUCAACAUGGACCACCCGAGGAACCAACAGCAACCAGCCGCGUCGACAGCCCAUCUGUAGCAUCAACAUGGACCACCCGAGGAACCAACAGCAACCAGCCGCGUCGACAGCCCAUCUGUAGCAUCAUCGUGGACCACCCUCGAGGAACCAACAGCCUCCAGCCGCGUCGACAGCCCAUCUGUAGCAUCAUCGUGGACCACCCGAGGAACCAACAGCAACCAGCCGCGUCGACAGCCCAUCUGUAGCAUCAUCGUGGACCACCCGAGGAACCAACAGCCUCCAGCCGCGUCGACAGCCCAUCUGUAGCAUCAUCGUGGACCACCCGAGGAACCAACAGCAACCAGCCGCGUCGACAGCCCAUCUGUAGCAUCAACAUGGACCACCCGAGGAACCAACAGCAACCAGCCGCGUCGACAGCCCAUCUGUAGCAUCAACAUGGACCACCCGAGGAACCAACAGCAACCAGCCGCGUCGACAGCCCAUCUGUAGCAUCAUCGUGGACCACCCGAGGAACCAACAGCCUCCAGCCGCGUCGACAGCCCAUCUGUAGCAUCAUCCUGGACCACCCGAGGAACCAACAGCAACCAGCCGCGUCGACAGCCCAUCUGUAGCAUCAACAUGGACCACCCGAGGAACCAACAGCAACCAGCCGCGUCGACAGCCCAUCUGUAGCAUCAUCAUGGACCACCCGAGGAACCAACAGCAACCAGCCGCGUCGACAGCCCAUCUGUAGCAUCAACAUGGACCACCCGAGGAACCAACAGCAACCAGCCGCGUCGACAGCCCAUCUGUAGCAUCAUCAUGGA